ensembl:snRNA U2 U2 spliceosomal RNA
AAAACUUUUCCAAAAGAAAAAAUCUGUUCUUAUCAGUUUAAUAUCUGACCUGUCCCCUAUCUGGGGACCAUAUAUUAAAUUGAUUUUUGGAAAAGGGAGAUGGAAUUAGGGGCUUGCUCCGUCCACUCCACGCAUCGACCUGGUAUUGCAGUACCUCCAGGAACGGUGCACCCCCU